rnacentral:lncRNA from 1 species
GGAGGAUCCUUUGCUUCAGAUGAUCCUGGAUCAUGGAGCCAUGAAGAUGUUGAUAGUUGGAUAUCAGGAACAGAUGAUGUCAAUCACUAAUGGAUCACAGUUGACCAGGGGAAACUAAAAUCAUGGGAAACAAAACCAUGGAUAAGGCAGUACUACUGUAUACAGUUGGCCCUCCAUAGCCAUGCACUCUGCAUCAGUGGAUUCAAUCAGCCAUGGAUAAAAAAAUGUUUGAAAAGUUUAAAAGAAUGGUUGUUUCUGUACUGAACAGGUUAGGUGUUCAAGCUGUGUUAAAUCACAUCCCUGAUGUUUAUGUGGUCAGGAUAUGUGCCCUUGAGUGACCAAGCAGAAGUGAGUGGAACUUUCUACCAUGCUUUGUAUGCUAAGACUUCCAUCAACGAGUGAUUUUCUUGCUUUAAAUUUAAUGCUGACUCCAUUCAAGCAGAAAAUAGAUUUGAAGACAAUGAAAAAUGUGCCACUUUAUUUCCCUAAGGCCUUCUCUGCACAGUAGGCCUUGAACAAAAGUAAUUUCAUAAGGAGAGACAAACAACUAAGUGAAUCUUCAAAUACAAAAAUUUAUUGUUUUUUUUUGCUAAAUUAUUUUACUAAGUAUUGAUUUUCUGAUUCUUAUUAUCCAUCUUCAGAUCACAAGGCUUAGUGUAGAAUUUGCUUACACUGUGAUAACAAAAUUCAUAAUCAAAUGGGAAGAGGAAAUAAUCCUACCGUGGUGCAUGCCAUUUUUCUAUCCAAGGGAACCUCGUAAGUUGCUGAUAAGAAUAAAUUGCAGUGAAUGAGAAAAUCAUGAAAAGUCAAAAAUUAAAGGAUCCUUAGUGAUAACCUGGCACAGUGAUUAUUUUUUCCCUUCCAAGGGGAGGAACAUUUUAUUUUUUGAAUUGGAACAUUUUUGUUGCUGUUUUUCUACAUGGUCACCAUGUUUUUAGAAUAUCUUCUAAUGUAGUAACAUUGUAUUUAUUGAGAAAUAACGGCUAAUACUGAAUUUGUUCAAUUUCAAAAAUGGGAAAAUGUGCAGAGUGUAUGAUCAUAAACAACAGUGGUAACAAUAGCAAGCAAAACAACUCUCUGGGAAAUCCAAAUAAUUCCUGACCUUCAAGAAAACCUAGCAGGUCUGAGGAGGUGAUUGUCAUAGUUGAUUCCAGUGGGGUCUACGAUAGCAUAUCCCCUCAAACAAAGUUGAAAGAGAAAGGGACAGUUGAUUCCUUUAUGGAGUAAAGACCAUAGAAUAAGAUCAAACUGAGAGGCCAGAUUGUGCCUUCAAGAGCAUGGAGAGAAAUCUGAGAAAUACAUGACAAUGGAUUUGACAAGUGAGCAUAUGGAGGUAGAAGGAAUUAGUAAGUUUAAAAUGGAAGAAAGUUGAGAUUUAGAAAGAUACCUUUACAAAAUUCCUGGAUUGUCCAUUUCUAGUGUCCCUUCACUUGCUGGUGCCUCAUAAGUACAAUAGCUUAAAUGUCUAGAGAGAAGGAGGCCAUGUAGGAGACUUUAAGUUAUAUACAACCUCUAGGUGUCUUUGUUGGGCCCACAAAGUGCUUAUAGCUUCUAUUUGCUGUGUCUCUAGAACAUUUUGCAAGAAGUGGGACUUGUGUUACUGUAUGGUUCCAGUUUUCAAUGCUCAUGUGGUGGCUUCACCCUUUAAAUAGCACAGUAGGUAUGCUUUCCAAUUUGAAGACUCCAAUAUUCUCUGUUGUCUGACAAUCAGUCAACUUAACUUGUUUAAAUAAUUUGUCUGGCCUCUGAUGCAUUUGAAUUUGUCAUCUGAUAGAAACUGCUAUGAUAUUUGAAUUUUAAGGCAAAGUUACCAGGUUUUAAUGAGCACCUAAGAUCUUGCUGAAAUGUAGGUUGAAAUUCCCUAGGUCCAGGAUACUCCUUAAGGCUUGUCCGUCUAACAGGCUCCCAGGUGAUGCCAAUACUGAUGUUACACAGACCAUACUUCAAGGAACAAAGACUUAAAGCAAGUGUCUUCUUCUGGGGCCUGAGAAAAAUGUUUAUGUGAAGGUGAUUUAUUUGGUAAUAUGAUACCAGGGAAUAGGAAUACAGGGCAGUUCAGGUUGCCAUAUCAAACUACCAUAGACUGGAUGGCUU